rnacentral:rRNA from 1 species
UACGUAGGGUGCGAGCGUUAAUCGGAAUUACUGGGCGUAAAGCGUGCGUAGGCGGUUCGUUAAGUUCGUUGUGAAAGCCCCGGGCUCAACCUGGGAACUGCAAUGGAAACUGGCGGGCUUGAGUGUGGCAGAGGGGGGUGGAAUUCCGCGUGUAGCAGUGAAAUGCGUAGAGAUGCGGAGGAACACCGAUGGCGAAGGCAGCCCCCUGGGCCAAGAUUGACGCUCAUGCACGAAAGCGUGGGGAGCAAACAGG